CACAUAUUACUGAUGGUUUACUAUCAUCCUAAACCGUUUAUGUAACCGUACCGGUUAAAACCGGUUGACGAAUUUUGAUUCAAUUGAAUUAUCCUCCUACUCCUCCUAUCCAUCAUGUUCAGUAGCUAGUCUUCGGAGAGUUUUCAAUUAAAGCCAUGGCGACCAGAGCUUUGCUAGCCGUCGUAACUGCUUCUCCACCACGCAUGAUCCAAAUCAAAGCCUCAACCUUUUCUUCAAGUCUCAAGUUCCAAAGACAUAUUACAACAAUAGCUCGAAGUUUCUCGUCGGACACGAACCCCUCCGUUCUUCAGCCGCCGGACGUAUCCCGUCUAGCUGAGACAGCUCGAAUCUCUCUCACUCCUUCCGAGAUUGAGGAAUGUGGAGCUAAGAUUCGUCAAGUCAUUGACUGGUUUGGUCAGCUUCAGCAAGUUGAUGUUAGCAGUGUGGAGCCAGCGAUUAGAGCAGAGAUGGAAGGUGGGAAUCUGCGAGAGGAUGCUCCUGAAACAUUUGAGAACAGGUUUGAUCUUCAUGCGGAAUUGAUUCUUGUUUUAGGACGAAAGGCAUCUACUACUAAAGUUUGUAUAUUCCUUAUACAGGGAAAGUAUAAGAGCUUCGAUUCCAAGCUUUGAUGAGGUGUAUUUGAAAGUACCUAAAGUACUAAACAAAGAGUGACUUUUUUUUGUCAGCUUCUUCGGGUGUGGCUGAAGAUAUUUAUUCUCAGCUCCGGUUAUUGUUCCACCAUCUGUUUGUUUUCUUUAAAAAAAAUAAAAAUUGGUUAGGAGAGAGCAAAGCUUGCUCUACAUUAUCAAGUCUCACGUAGUCCACUACUCUACAACAUGGUGAUACUUUAUAAUCUCAAUCCAUCCAUUUCGAUCGGUGAUCGUUUUUAAACCCGCGCCAGUCCAUUGUUCUACAACACACAAGCUCAUAGCAUUCCUUAUGUUGAACGUUGUUUUGCCAAUGGCAUGACUCUGCAUUGUGACUGA